GGGGUCCAAAGGGUAGGUAAGCAAGGUGAGCCCUGCCAGCGUUGGCCAGGCAUGGGCAGCAUCUGUACUCAGACUCAGGCCCUAGGCCCUAAGGCCACCUAGAAUUCUGUCAUCCUCAUGGUCCUCUUUUUUCACUUUCAUAGAUAUUCUGGGAGAGUUGUCACCAAGUCCCAUCACCAGGCCACCUCUGGCCCUUGCUGUGGAUCCCCUCCUGUAACUGCUAAUCAAAUCAGUGAAGUUCCUUGUGUCUCUCUUCAUGGAUUGCCAGAAAAUAGAGGUGGAAUUGACAGCAGAAAGGAUGGCGCUGAGGCAUAAGAACUCCCUGGGGUUCCGCGAUUAGGACCGGAAAGAAGUGCCCACUGGAAUGUGUACACACGCCUCCCAGCAUACCACAGAGGAGAGCUGCCCACC
rnacentral:lncRNA from 1 species